GAUGAAGAACGCAGCGAAAUGCGAUAAGUAAUGUGAAUUGCAGAAUUCAGUGAAUCAUCGAAUCUUUGAACGCAUCUUGGGCUCCUUGGUAUUCUGAGGAGCAUGCCUGUUUGAGUGUCAUUAAAUUCUCAACUACACUGACUUUGAAUUGGUGUGGCUUGGAUUUGGGGGGAAAAUUGUUGUGGGCUUUUUGUAUAGUCUGCUCCCCUGAAAUUGAUUAGCGGUACCUUUGUGGAACUGUCUACAGGUGUGAUAAUUAUCUACAUCUUAGACAUCUGCUGGAAUGCUGCUUUCUAAACCUUACUUGUAUUGACAAUCUUGACCUCAAAUCAGGUAGGACUACCCGCUGAACUUAAGCAUAUCAAUAAGCGGAGGA
rnacentral:misc_RNA from 1 species